AUGAACCAAUUCUUCGGGAAAAUGAAACCCAAGGCUCCGCUGCCCAGCCUGACUGACUGCAUUGGCAUGGUGGACAGCUGGGCAGAAUCUAUUGACAAGAAGAUUUCUCGAUUGGAUGCUGAGCUACUGAAGUAUAAGGAUCAGAUCAAGAUGAUGAGAGAGGGUCCUGCAAAGAAUAUGGUCAAGCAGAAAGCCUUGCGGGUUUUAAAGCAAAAAACGGAUGUUUGAGCAGCAGCGGGACAAUCUCGCACAACAGUCUUUUAACAUGGAAGAAGCCAAUUACACCAUCCAGUCAUUGAAGGACACUAAGACCACGGUUGAUGCUAUGAAACUGGGAGUAAAAGAAAUGAAAAAAGCAUACAAGCAAGUGAAAAUUGACCAGAUCGAGGAUUUACAAGACCAGUUAAGAGGAUAUGAUGGAAGAUGCAAAUGAAAUCCAAGAAGCACUGAGUCACAGUUAUGGCACCCCAGAAUUAGAUGAAGAUGACCUGGAAGCUGAAUUGGAUGCACUGGGUGAUGAGCUUCUAGCCGAUGAAGAUAGUUCCUACUUGGAUGAAGCAGCAUCUGCACCUGCAAUUCCAGAAGGUGCUCCCACUGACACAAAAAACAAGGAUGGAGUUCUGGUGGAUGAAUUUGGAUUGCCACAGAUUCCUGCUUCAUAGACUUGCAUCAUUCAAGUACCUCGUAUAAAAUGAACAUACAUUGUGGGACUGGGAAAUGUGUUAUCUUUCUGAAAUUUCCAUAACAGAUUUAGGUUUUUUUCUUUUCUUUGAAAGAAAGGUUAAUUACAUUCCUUUUUUUUUUCCCAGUAAGAGACUCAUCCCUUUGGAGAUGCUUUCUUUAUACUAAAAUUUGAUUCCUUUUUCUCUUAUGAAAGA